UACGUAGGGUGCAAGCGUUGUCCGGAAUUACUGGGCGUAAAGGGCUCGUAGGCGGCCAACUAAGUCGGAUGUGAAAUCCCCAGGCUUAACCUGGGAACUGCAUUGGUGACUGCAUCGCUCGAGUAUGGCAGAGGGGGGUAGAAUUCCACGUGUAGCAGUGAAAUGCGUAGAGAUGUGGAGGAAUACCGAUGGCGAAGGCAGCCCCCUGGGUCAAUACUGACGCUCAUGCACGAAAGCGUGGGGAGCAAACAGG
rnacentral:rRNA from 1 species